rnacentral:rRNA from 1 species
CUAACUGGAGGACCGAACCGACUAAUGUUGAAAAAUAGCGGAUGACUUGUGGCUGGGGGUGAAAGGCCAAUCAAACCGGGAGAUAGCUGGUUCUCCCCGAAAGCUAUUUAGGUAGCGCCUCGUGAACUCAUCUUCGGGGGUAGAGCACUGUUUCGGCUAGGGGGCCAUCCCGGCUUACCAAACCGAUGCAAACUCCGAAUACCGAAGAAUGUUAUCACGGGAGACACACGGCGGGUGCUAACGUCCGUCGUGAAGAGGGAAACAACCCAGACCGCCAGCUAAGGUCCCAAAGUCAUGGUUAAGUGGGAAACGAUGUGGGAAGGCAUAGACAGCCAGGAUGUUGGCUUAGAAGCAGCCAUCAUUUAAAGAAAGCGUAAUAGCUCACUGGUCGAGUCGGCCUGCGCGGAAGAUGUAACGGGGCUAAACCAUGCACCGAAGCUGCGGCAGCGACGCUUAGGCGUUGUUGGGUAGGGGAGCGUUCUGUAAGCCGUUGAAGGUGGCCUGUGAGGGUUGCUGGAGGUAUCAGAAGUGCGAAUGCUGACAUAAGUAACGAUAAAGCGGGUGAAAAGCCCGCUCGCCGGAAGACCAAGGGUUCCUGUCCAACGUUAAUCGGGGCAGGGUGAGUCGACCCCUAAGGCGAGGCUGAAAAGCGUAGUCGAUGGGAAACAGGUUAAUAUUCCUGUACUUGGUGUUACUGCGAAGGGGGACGGAGAAGGCUAGGCUAGCCGGGCGACGGUUGUCCCGGUUUAAGCGUGUAGGGGGUGUGACCUGGUAAAUCCGGUUACAUAUCAACCCUGAGGCGUGAUGACGAUGCACUACGGUGCAGAAGUAGUUGAUGCCCUGCUUCCAGGAAAGCCUCUAAGCUCUAGGUAACAUUAAAUCGUACCCCAAACCGACACAGGUGGUCAGGUAGAGAAUACCAAGGCGCUUGAGAGAACUCGGGUGAAGGAACUAGGCAAAAUGGUGCCGUAACUUCGGGAGAAGGCACGCUGGCAUGUAGGUGAAGUCCUUCGCGGAUGGAGCUGAAGCCAGUCGAAGAUACCAGCUGGCUGCAACUGUUUAAUAAAAACACAGCACUGUGCAAACACGAAAGUGGACGUAUACGGUGUGACGCCUGCCCGGUGCUGGAAGGUUAAUUGAUGGGGUCAGCCGCAAGGCGAAGCUCUUGAUCGAAGCCCCAGUAAACGGCGGCCGUAACUAUAACGGUCCUAAGGUAGCGAAAUUCCUUGUCGGGUAAGUUCCGACCUGCACGAAUGGCGUAAUGAUGGCCAGGCUGUCUCCACCCGAGACUCAGUGAAAUUGAACUCGCUGUGAAGAUGCAGUGUACCCGCGGCAAGACGGAAAGACCCCGUGAACCUUUACUAUAGCUUGACACUGAACAUUGAGCCUUGAUGUGUAGGAUAGGUGGGAGGCUUUGAAGCGUGGACGCCAGUCUGCGUGGAGCCAUCCUUGAAAUACCACCCUUUAAUGUUUGAUGUUCUAACUCGGCCCCGUGAUCCGGGGUGAGGACAGUGUCUGGUGGGUAGUUUGACUGGGGCGGUCUCCUCCCAAAGAGUAACGGAGGAGCACGAAGGUUAGCUAAUCACGGUCGGACAUCGUGAGGUUAGUGCAAAGGCAUAAGCUAGCUUGACUGCGAGAGUGACGGCUCGAGCAGGUACGAAAGUAGGUCUUAGUGAUCCGGUGGUUCUGAAUGGAAGGGCCAUCGCUCAACGGAUAAAAGGUACUCCGGGGAUAACAGGCUGAUACCGCCCAAGAGUUCAUAUCGACGGCGGUGUUUGGCACCUCGAUGUCGGCUCAUCACAUCCUGGGGCUGAAGUAGGUCCCAAGGGUAUGGCUGUUCGCCAUUUAAAGUGGUACGCGAGCUGGGUUUAGAACGUCGUGAGACAGUUCGGUCCCUAUCUGCCGUGGGCGUUGGAAGAUUGAGAGGGGUUGCUCCUAGUACGAGAGGACCGGAGUGAACGCACCACUGGUGUUCGGGUUGUCAUGCCAAUGGCAUUGCCCGGUAGCUAAGUGCGGAAAAGAUAAGCGCUGAAAGCAUCUAAGCGCGAAACUUGCCUCAAGAUGAGUCUUCCCUGGGCCUUCAAGGCCCCUGAAGGAACGUUUAAGACUAAGACGUUGAUAGGCUGGGUGUGUAAGUGCAGCGAUGCAUUGAGCUAACCAGUACUAAUGAUCCGUGAGGCUUAACCUUACAACACCGAAGGUGUUU